CUUCACUCUCGGCAGUUUCUUGCCUCCGUGGGUGGUUGGCGCGUCUGCGGAGCCAGGGUCGUUGUGUGGAUCGUGGGACUGCAGCCCCAGCCAAAGGGCUGUCACGUCUGGUCGGUUCCGUCACCCACGGUUCCGGUUUCCAGUCGUUAAGGGUCCAGCAGUCUGUUAAGUAGCUCUCUGUCCCUUCUGGAAGCUUGGCCAGGGAAGAUCAUUCCACCUUUGAGUUCCAGAUGAAGUCUUGCUGUGUCGUCCAGGCUGGAGUGCAGUCGCACUAUCUCAACUCAUUGUAACCUCUGCCCUUGUUCUCUAAAAUCACUGUUAUUCUGUUCUUUUUUAAGGUGCAGUGAUUUCAUAUUGUUCAAACACACAUGUUUACAGUCAGAUUUCAUAUUGUUCAAACACACAUGUUUUACAAUCAAUUUGUUAGUUAAUGCAAUCAUCACAGGGUCCUGAGGUGACGUACAUUCUCAGCUUACGAAGAUAAUAGGAUUGAGAUUAAAAUAAAGACAGGCAUAAGAAA